rnacentral:rRNA from 1 species
UACGUAGGGGGCAAGCGUUGUCCGGAAUCAUUGGGCGUAAAGAGCGCGUAGGCGGCCCUGUAAGUCCGCUGUGAAAGUCAAGGGCUCAACCCUUGAAUGCCGGUGGAUACUGCAGGGCUAGAGUCCGGAAGAGGCGAGUGGAAUUCCUGGUGUAGCGGUGAAAUGCGCAGAUAUCAGGAGGAACACCGAUGGCGAAGGCAGCUCGCUGGGACGGUACUGACGCUGAGGCGCGAAAGCGUGGGAGCAAACAGG